rnacentral:rRNA from 1 species
AACGUAGGAGACAAACGUUAUCCGGAGUUACUGGGCGUAAAGAGCUCGUAGGUGGUUUGUCGCGUUGUUCGUGAAAACUCACAGCUUAACUGUGGGCGUGCGGGCGAUACGGGCAGACUGGAGUACUGCAGGGGAGACUGGAAUUCCUGGUGUAGCGGUGGAAUGCGCAGAUAUCAGGAGGAACACCGGUGGCGAAGGCGGGUCUCUGGGCAGUAACUGACGCUGAGGAGCGAAAGCGUGGGGAGCGAACAGG